CGUUGUGCGUUGGGACUGAAGGCGUACCCACUUUGCACUGAGCUCUAUCUCACCUCUUAGGAAUACUCACUUCCAUAAAUACUCAUUCACCGUGUGUUAUUCCUUAGUUAGUCAGGUGGUCAUUAUGUUAUGGCUAAUUGGUGAAUAGUUCCAAAUAGCUAUGAAGUAAGACACCCAACUGCAUUACAACAAUAUGUGUCUUGACUCUCAUCAUAUCAAUCCUGUUGUAUAUCCCGAGUGUAUCAAAGUAGGAUUUUUCCAUCACAAUGACAUGAGGGAAUGUAAAAUGGGUUGCAUCCAGUAUCUAUGAUGUAAGAGAACCAACAAUUUACCGGUAUAGCCGAAGCUAAAUAUAAUUAUGGUUAAGUGCAUUAUUCAUUUAAGUUUCUGAAAGAGAUUGACCCACGCUAAACCCUCUGCUGCCUUUACUUUCGCUGCUCUCUUUGUUAAUCUCUCCUGUCAGUCCCCAAAGUUUACAGAAAGGCUGGGCUACAUUAAAUUGAUGCAGUACCCCAUUAACUCUACAUUAACAUGAGGCACAUCAUAGAACAAAGACAAUCUGUCCUGAUUGUGAGGAGAACGUCUUUGUAAGCGGGAACAGAGGAAUUACUCUGCCGCACUGAUAUCCAAAAGCAGUCCCACAGGAGGGCUGGACUGACACUUUCUAUUACUCCAAAGAAACUGUCCUCAGAGCAAAGAUACUAUACUGCUUUCUUUGAAUGCAGGCUUUUUACAAAACAAAAGUCUCUGCCUCAGAAUUUAAUACUGUGGCUGAUCACUUGAACUUUAUGCUGCUAUAACACUUGCUCGUAUUGUAAACCUCACUCAUGACAUCAGUGCUGGUCCCCUGGUUCUUAGGUCUCGAUUUUAAUCACAGUGCAGUGUUUGCUAUGAGCUCACCUGACCUGUUCAAUCGAUGCUGCCAGUUGUAAAUCCACAUUACACAGGCACACUCACUUGCCUCAUGGAGGAGACGAUGACCAGCCUGGUGGAAACCACCCUCUUUGAGGAGUAGUGACAUGAUUUUAUCCGCUAAAAACCAUGAACAGUUCAUGUUGGUACAACAAUUCACAUGCAACAACACUGCUAAGGUCACUGUGCAGUUCAUAGACUAUCACAUCCGCCAAACUGCAAAGUCCCUGAUUUUAAUUCAAAAGAAAGGUCAGACACUAAUUCUUGGUACAGUUAUAGUCACCAGGCUAUAAAAUGUUAUUUGUACCUUGCUGCUAAGUCUGACUGAAACUGGCCCAAACAUCCUGAGUAUGCUCAGGAGCUGGCAUGCUGGGAAGCUGGGUGGUUAACAAAACUUCAAUCUGCAAAGAAAGGAUGUAAAAAGGCAAAACUGAAUGAACACAAGGUAUAGAGCUGUAAAAGUGAUGGUGUUAUUAGCAUCCUGUUCGCCACUUGCUAACAUGCUUUCACAAUUGUUCUAGCACAUGCAAGGUCAACCAGAGAACGACCAGUAGUAAAGAGCUAAAAGGGGGCAUGUUGCAGCCUACCUUGGCAAAGGUGGCUCUACCUCCGUCAGUGAUUUGAUUCUUGUCAGCUGGGACAGCGACGGUAGUCCAGCUGAAUCGCCCAAUCAAGCUGUAACUGUAGCUCAGCUUAGUUGUGCGUGUAAACAUACUGAUGGUUUCCCUCAUUGCCUAUGAAGUUAAAUCCAGACUUGUUUGGUCUUGGAGUUAAAAGGUAAAGACAUUGCUUUGGCAAACUCUGUUUCAUCACACCGUUUAUGGAUUAAGUGCUUUGCCAUUUUACAGCAGUGACAACAGCUGUAAACUCUCUCUCCAUUUUUGUUUUUUUGCUGAUUCAUUUUUUAGAUUGCUUUCACCAGAGUUUCUAGUUUUCUCACUCAUAUCAUCUUUAUCUGGAGAGAGCUGGUGCAGUCUUCCUUUUGUGAUCCCUCUCUAAGGUUGGCUUUUUCUUGUGUGUCGUCAAUGUUAUCUCAGCUGCAAGGUGGUCACCCCCGAACUGCUCCCAUGUAUCACGGCCUUUCAUGGGAUGUAUUCAUCACUGCUUUCAAUACAGCUCUCAGAGGAGUCAUUCCAGGAGAUAAUUUGCAGGUAUUUCUUCAUUAGCUGGAGAAGAAAAAUACAUGAGCAAUUAUCUGUGAAUAUGUCUAGGUUUUGAAUCACCAAUGCAGCCUUUUGUUAAAGCCUUGCUGUUUCCUUUUUUUCUCUGAACACAUAAUACCUCUCAGACAAGGUAGCGUUGAGCUUAAAACAUACUGUAUUUCUGAUGUAAGAGUUUCACUAUCCCAAAUGCUUUUGUUCUGUGAACUGUAAAAUAAAAGUUUUCUGUUAUUCCCCUCCAAACAUGGUACACCUGGGUCAUCAGCCACAUCAAGGUUUGAGAUUUCAGGGCUGCAAUUGUCUAUGAAUCUGAAAAUUAAGGCUUGUACUCUGUAAUAGAAAAGUAAUGUAGCUACCACUUUCUAUCUUACCACACUGUACCUGCAAGCAAGGUGAUUGCUUUUUGAGUGUAAGUCCUCUCUCCUCAGUCCCCUUCCUUUGAGCUCUUAAAUAUAAUUGGUAUUUAAAGGCACAGAACACUAUGUAAUAAGGCCAGUAAAGUUAAUAUUGAUGUCUGUAAAAGCAGUUCAUGACCAAAAAGGCUAAAAUCCUUGUUAAAUUGCCAGCAAUGCUGUGCCACCAAGCUAAGUCAUGUUGGUGUGAAAACAAGUUAGCAAUCAAUGUUAUUCAUAUGGCACCCACCUUCAUGGGAUACCAUGUACAGGGAAAAAAAAAAAUUCUACUGUUAUAAUGUAUAAUAAUGAUGCUCCAGGUCGUAAGUCAAAAACCGUCAAUGUUCUGACUAACUGUGGUCAUUUCACUGCUCCCCGGUUGAUGAAAUACCACACAGACUAAAGAUGAGAUACCAGGCCCUAUUUCAGGUUAAAAAACACAUCAGAACACAGCUAACAUUAGCAUUCAGCCACUUGAACAUUAUAUUACAUUAUUCAAAAAUCAUAGAAACGGCUGGGACAGAUAAACAUUUACAUGGGUAAACUAUUAUUAAACAAAUGACUCCUUUGGAAAUGUUCAUGCUUAUGUUGCUGUCUGUUUUUACAUUAGAGUAACCAUUGCAUUUACCUGUGUACCAGCCAUUAAGCAGGUAGCUGGUACACAAACAACAGUGUUAUGGGUUAAACUGCGACCCUGUAAACUAGCAACUUUGGGCUGAAUGAUAAUGUGGUUGUCACAGGAACAGGCUUGAAAUCCCCAAUUCACAUUCAGUUUUAACACUAGUGCUUGCCCGCACAGUAAUUAACCGCAUUGUUGGCUAGCUAAUGUAACCUAAAAGUUGACAUCAACAUGGAUAUACUUUCAAAGGAAUAAAAUCAUCAGUUUGCUCAAGCACAUUCACUCUGGUGUGUCCGUCAUUUUUGAAUGUAAAUGUAAAAAGGGAGCAGCUAAAGGCUUCUGUUAGCUGUGCUCUAAAGUAAGCAAACAGGCUGUUAAAUGUAUUUUUUAUUUAAAAUAUGAUCUGGUCUCUCUUGGUUGUCUCUGUCUUCAGUCCGUGUGGCUGUGCAGGCCCUGUAAAUAUUAGCAAUAUUAAAUAUCUAAGUUCUAAAGGUUGCUAUGAAACUUUGUCUGAUUGGGGAAAGGAUUCAGUUUAUUGGUUUGGAACAAAUCUUUGCAGGCAGCCUCCAUUUAUGACAAAUAUUAUUACCUUAGUUACCUCUGACACUUGUUUGUUAUUAAGUAAGAGCACAAAAGUCAACUGUCACCUUAGCUUAUUAGCAGCAAUAAGACAUUGUUUCAUGCCACAAUUGCUUAUAUGUAAACCUAGUAAAAUGGAUUUCUGUAGCCUUGCACAAUGUGUGCAUCUAUACUACUAUACUCUCAAGAUGAGGAAACAGUUUUAGUUAGUUAUGAACCAGGAGAUCAGUUAGUUCUGAGUUUUCUUCAUAUUAAUGGAGGCCCGCAGGCUAGCUGUUUCCUUAAUUCGCAUAAACAUCAGGGUACUCGCUAACUCUUGCCUCAGCGGUUGUCAGGUUAUGUAAAUUGGUUGUUCUGGGACAAAUAAUAUGAAUAGUACUAUCUAGUGCUUCCGGGCGUUUGCUGCCUGUGCCAUAAUCAAAGUUGGUUGGAUGUGACUGGUCAGCAACAAGACACAACAAAACUACAACUAACAAUAAAAUCCAAUAAAACAGUGACAGAGGACACCACAUAAUUGUAAUUUGUAUUGGAUUCAUGCACUGUGGUCCGGCUUGGGGCUGCUCAAAGGUUACCAAAGGGGCAGAUUUGGCCGCCAGUGCAAUGGUCCACUGUCCCGAGGUGAACUUCUUGAUCUUAUGCUCGGUCAGUUGACUGAAAUUACAGAUCGAAACAAUCAGCCUGAAAUGACACUGCCCCGCCUGCUGUGUUUGUUUGUAUGUUACAAACUGGAGAUUGAUUUCCAUCUUUUCAUCUCAGCCCCGAUGGAGAAAGCUUCUUUUUUUUGGAGUGAACCGUCGGUGAACAUGAACUGUUCGAUCAGCUGACGGACUAAAGGGAUCGAUAGGUUGAAUCAGACUAUCAGUCAAAUGAGCCAGUGGACUGAACACACAUCCUACACACACGGCGGGACACAGAGGCAGACAUCUUCUUUCAUUUUUUGGCCUUUUCCCUCGAUCGACAAAUCCUAAUAAACUGCACACCUGAAGAAAACAAAGAGCUGCAGAGCAGUAAUGGAUUGUAAAAACAGACGGAGGAGAGAAGAGAGGGAGGAGGAAAGAGGAGAGGAAAAAUCCAUGACGGUUAGAGAGGGAAGCGUACUACACGGGGGCCAUGCUAAUGAAAGGGCAUUUAUCACCAUUAGAGCGGUGAUGGACGCUGGCACAUCUGUCCCUCCCCAUGGAAGGAAACCUGGGCUACAAAGCCUUUAGCAGAGAGAGAGAGAGAGAGAGAGAGAGAGAGCACGCUCUCCACAGCAAUAAUUACCUUUCAAUAAUCAAAGACCAUCAAGAGAAGAGCUGGCACGCAACCCAUCAGUGUCUCCAUGGAGUCAUCAAACACACAAUUCACUCACACACAGUCAAGAAACACACACAUUCAUUUGCUAAAAGCCAAGGUAAUAUUGCUUUAACAAUGCAGAGAGAUGCCAGGACAUGCAGGGGGGAAGAACGCUGCAGGUGGAGAAGUGGAGGGAGUGGGGAGGUCAAGUUAGCGUGUGCAGAAAUCAUUCCUCUGAACAACUUUACAUCAUCACACGUGCUGCCUUUAAUUUUGCUAAAGAGAUCAAAGAAGUUAAGGUGAGCUCAUAAUUUGGUCACAUUUCUUAGAGGGGUUUACACUGAGCAUGUGCACGACGUCCCAUCUAUGUCAUAAUUUUGCUCUGUCCAAGCAGGAAGAGCGUUUGGAGCAUAGCCAGCUGAAAUCUGCAGAGCUGGGAUCACACAAACAUCAACUUUACUUGGAAAAACUGUGUUGACUUAACUCAAUUUUUGUUAACUUUUCACGUACACUUAUUAUAAACAAGUUAGUUGUACUUUUUGGUCAUUAGAGCCAAAGCACUAAAUUUUUUUAAGUUGAGUCAUUUUAAUCAAAUGAAGUGAGAAGAACUUAUUUAUAUUUCCCCAGUGGUUGAAUGCUGAAUUUCUGUUUAUCUAUGAUAUUUUUGUUGGUUUAUAAACCGUAAAGAAAAAUAGGGAAGGUGCUUGACAAUGCCCAUAAAAACAUGUUGAUCAGCCAAAAGUGUUGUUAUAGAUGUCUUUAUAAACACAGUGAUCCAACAGAAGCAGACAGAAAUAUCCAUCAAUGACAUUCAUACAAAUAUUCAGCAAACAGAGAAAGCACAGAUGAACUUUUAUUGUUUUUUAAUGGGCACUGACAGAAGCAGCUCAUUGAUGGUUUCGCAAUGUUUUCUCCCCUCACAUUACAUUGCUUGGGAUGUCUGCUUGCCUUCUUAACACAUAAUUUAUAUUUGCCAAAGUACCUCUUGACUCUUUGAUCAUGCUGGUGUUUUUGGGGAUGACUGGAAAUUUGGGACAGGAAAUAAGGUUGAGCUUUUUCAUCUUUCUUCUUUGACGUCACUUUUUUCUAAAGUCUCAGACCUUCAAAAUCUGCACCAACUGAAGGUGAUUUGAACAAGUGAUCAUCUUGAUGUUGUUGUUAUUAAACUUUUUUGAAGAUUUUUCAAAAUGAGAAAUACAAACAAGGAAACUUAUCCACACUCACUGUCCUUAAAAAGACAGUGACCAAAUCAGCAUCUUUAGAAAAGAAUGAAAAAGCUAAAAUAAAGAACUAAACUGAGAGUUUUUGGUGAAACUGAUCCACAAACAUUUACAAACCAGAACAAUUUAAUAGUUCAAUGAUCUCAUUUACAUGUUUUUGGUCUGAUUGACUCAAAAUUCUGUUUAUUUCACUUCAAUAAACUCAGCAGAGUCUCCCUCACUGUGGCCUAACCACAGUCCAGCAUGUAGCGGCUCAGUGAAUGUGGUCUGGACUCUGUGGAGAAGGGUCAUGGUUUCAGAGACGCUGUAGAAGGACAGAAUACCUGCUUUGUGAUCCAGGUACACUCCUACUCUGGAGGACGGAGGACUUGAGACACGAGUGCCGACUUUGUUGUGUAUAAAUUCAUACCUGUCUUUAUAACACUCUAACAUCCAAGAUUUGUCAUUGAAUCCAAAUAUACAAUCAUGUGAGUUUCCUGCUCUGCUGAUAGUCUUGUAUGCAACUGCUACAUCAACCCUGUCCCCUCUCCAGUCCACCUCCCAGUAACAACGUCCAGUCAGACUCUCUCUACUCAGGACCUGAGUCCAGCCAGUGAAUCUGUCUGGGUGAUGAGGAUAAGACUGUUGUUGUCCUGUUUUUGUUGCUCUUCUGUUUCCAUCAGAUAAUAACAGCUUUCUGUGUGCUGUGUUUGGAUCCAGUGUGAUUCUUUGUGAAUAUCUUAAGAAACCAGCUCUGGUCUUGGGUUCUGGUUCUGGUGGUUCUGACAGUAAAACAUCCACUUCAGUCACUGCCUGUGAGACGUUUGUCCACGUCUCUGUCAGAAGAUCCUGGAGUUUAUCUCUGAGCUCUGACUCAGCUGCUGUCACCUCCUCAGAGUAUCUCAGAGGACGGAUGUUGAUCCUGGAUGAGUCUGCAGGUUGGCCUGGUCCUGACAGUGAGGGGUAGCUCUGCAGAAACUGGUUGUGGUCCUCUGUGAGUGAGAGCUUCAGCAGAUCAGCGUCUUUCCUCUUCAGCUCAGUGGUCUCCUGCUCCAGUUUCUCCUGAAGCUCUUUGACUCGACUCACUUCACGUUCCUGCUGGGAUCUGACCUGCUGCUUCACGUCAGAGCGGCGUUUCUCCAUGAGACGGAUCAGCUGGCUGAAGAUCUCCUGGCUGUGCUCCACUGCUUUAUCAGCAGAGCCGUUGAUAGCCUCCACCUCCUGUUGGAGCAGCUUCACAUCUUCCUCUCUGUCCUGGAUUCUCUGCUGGAUGUUUUCUCGACUCUCCUCCAGAUCGUUCAGCCUCUCAGCUCUUUCUGCUGCAGCUGAGACUGUGUCGUGGCCUUUGUGUUGGUCCACAGAGCAGAGAUAACAGAUAGACUGUUGAUCAGUGCGGCAGAACAUCUUCAUCACCUCAUCAUGACGAGAGCAGAUGUUCUCCUGGAGCUUCUUGGAGGGCUCCACCAGCUUGUGUUUCUUGAAUGACGGUGAUUCAAAAUGAGGCUGGAGGUGAAUCUGGCAGUAAGAAACCAGACAUUGCAGACAGGACUUGACAGCUUUUAGUUUUCUCCCACUGCAGACGUCACAGGCCACAUCUUCAGGUCCAGCAUCAGAGGGAUCACCAGGAGCAGCUUGGAGUCCGCUCUUCUUCAGUUCCUCCACUACACCUGCUAACAUGGUGUUUUUCAUCAGGACAGGCCUCGGUACAAAGGUCUGUCUGCACUGAGGACAGCUGUAGAUCUUCUUCUCAUCCUCUUUAUCCCAGUAGGUUUGAAUACAGCUCAUGCAGAAGCUGUGUCCACAGGUAACAGUCACCGGAUCCUUCAGUAGAUCCAAACAGAUGGAACAAGAGAAAGAUUCACGGUCCAGCUGAACUCCUUUCUGCGCCAUUUCAACUCUCACUGUCGACGACUGACUGACUGAGUUUCAUUUCCUCAGAAGUGAAACUAGUCUGAGCUCUGAUCUCAACAUGUGUGUGUCAGCAGGAUCAACUCAGCACACGCUGGUUACACCCAGACUCAGACUGUAGAUCUGAAGGGGAGGGAACAACGAAGUGAAAAAAACAAGGAAGUGAGUGUGCAGAGGGGAGUGAGCUCUGUGAGAGACCAGGGAGGGGAAAUCCUGUUUUUCUACAAGCCAGGAGGAGGAGCGGCGAUGUGAACUUUAGACUCUCAAACUCCAACAAGCAGAAGUUAUUAAAGCUGCAGCCGUCCUGAAGAUCAACUGGACCAACAUUUAUUCACCUUAUAUAAACCUCAUCGACCACAGAAAGACUUCAGUGUGACCAUUGUUUUAUAUCCACACAUAUUUACAUAUACACCACAUAUAAACCCUAUCUCUCUCUCUCUCUCUCUCUCUCUCUGCCUUCCCUCAUUCUGCUGUCUUUCUUUUUCUUUCCUCUCUUUCUUCUUUUCAUACCCUGAUUUGGGCUUUUCGGGCAUCAUAAUGUCUAACCCCCAGGUCAUUCAAUCUGGGCUCACUCACUGAUGUUACACUUGUCACCGGUCGCUGUCGGACGGACUAAACCAUUUUGUGCCUCCAAGAGGGUUUCCCCAGAAUGUCUAACAUGUUGGGAGGACUGUGACGUAGAGUUUAUUGUCUCAGUUAUAUAUAUAUAUUUGUAAGAAAUUAUGACAUUAAUUAAUUGGAGGGCCCAAUUCAUUCGAAAUAAAAACGUCACCCAAAAAAAAAAAAAAUCAGGAUUUUCAUGGGUCCCUCUCCCUACUCGGGCCAUGCCAGCAGCUGUCUCCUCUCUUUGAUUUUGUUCUUAAAAAAAGAAAAAAAAUGUUUAAUGGCUGCCAAUUCAACUGAGGAGUGUUCUUAUUUGGUUUUAAGGGUAUUAUUUUAAUUUUCCGUGUCUUUACAGCUCAUGUUUUGAGUUAAUUGCUUCAAAGUAAACAAAUAAGUUUAAACUGAAAUUCAGUAAACAGCUACAAAAAUAAGUCACACUUAAAGUAGAUAAUUGAGCUCUAGUACUGCACACUCAAAAUUAAGACGUGAACCUUGAUACUGAACACUUGGAAUAAUUCAUUUGAAAUGUGUAUUGCAAACUAAAGAUCUAUAAGUACCAUGCACUCAAAAUAAAUACAUUAGCGUAUAUAUUGAUUACUCAAAAUAAUUAAGUUAGGGUUAGUACCAUGCACCUCAGAUAAAUAAUUUAUGUGAACUUGUGGAAGUUUAUUUACUUGAUUUCUUUAAGGCAACAAGUUUCUUUUUUUUUUUUUUUUUCUUUUUUUAAGUAAACUAAACUCAUUUUGUUGUACAGUGUGGGGACUAGAUAUUCAUGCAGAAAUUUGGAAUUAACACACUGACAGGUGUUAUAUUACAGGUCAACAGAUCCAAGAAAGAUGUUACUCUGCAUUAUGUUAUGUUGAUCAGCUGUUCCUGUGUAAGUCCAUCCUUGUUUUUUUGCAUUAGGAUGAUUGGGAGGAAGCUAAAGCA